rnacentral:rRNA from 1 species
AUUGAACGCUGGCGGCAGGCUUAACACAUGCAAGUCGAGCGGGGUGAUGGUGCUUGCACUAUCACUUAGCGGCGGACGGGUGAGUAAUGCUUAGGAAUCUGCCUAUUAGUGGGGGACAACAUCUCGAAAGGGAUGCUAACACCGCAUACGUCCUACGGGAGAAAGCAGGGGAUCACUUGUGACCUUGCGCUAAUAGCUGAGCCUAAGUCGGAUUAGCUAGUUGGUGGGGUAAAGGCCUACCAAGGCGACGAUCUGUAGCGGGUCUGAGAGGAUGAUCCGCCACACUGGGAUUGAGACACGGCCCAGACUCCUACGGGAGGCAGCAGUGGGGAAUAUUGGACAAUGGGGGGAACCCUGAUCCAGCCAUGCCGCGUGUGUGAAGAAGGCCUUAUGGUUGUAAAGCACUUUAAGCGAGGAGGAGGCUCCUUUGGUUAAUACCCAAGAUGAGUGGACGUUACUCGCAGAAUAAGCACCGGCUAACUCUGUGCCAGCCGCCGCCGUAA